AUGAGUGAUGUACCCAAAUAGUUGGAUGCGAAUAUCUAAACUGUAUGGUUAAACUUAUUCACCUAAAUGGGGGUUAUUGCUGAUUAUGCAUGCUAUGCAUCUUACGACUUUUAAAACAAGCUUUGUAUUUGUGGGUAAUCUAAACACUAUACUCAGAUGUACAAACACUCUUCUUAACCUGUUGUGACAAAGCUCAGUCCUU